CGCCGGCAAUCUGAUCCACCAGCUUCUGUUGACAAGGCAGCCAUUGGUGAAUACUUGAUUCUGUGAGAGACAGUGGGGAUGUGAUAUAAAAAGUGGAGAUUUUCUCAAGAUCCACCCCAUCUCUCGCCUAGUUUAGUCCGUGUAAGAUUCCAAGAGCGUUAGGCACUUAGGCCCUCUCUCCAUGGCCUAAUCAUUGCCAUUAGUUUAGUCCCAUCGCUUUGAGGUGCACCCCUCGUUGGCUGCCCUCAUUCUCCUCCUUUCCUGCCAAUGGGAAGUGGAGUGGAUGCGCCCGUCACUCGUGCCUUUGUGAGCUCGGAUCCCGGUCAAUGGCGCGGCGAGGCGGCGGCGAUCGGUGUCGACAGCGGCGGUGCUGGGGGCACUGCAGGAGGAGGCCGGUGAUGCGGAGGGGCCAGGGGGCGGCGACGGCGGGAUCAGGAGGAGCGGCGAGGUGAUCGCCUGAAGGAUUUCCUACAGUGGUAGGCAAGUCUCAUUCUUGGCUGAUGUCUUCACACGAUGGAAGGAAGUAUCUUUUUUUUUUCUUCUUUUGGGGUGGUGGUUUUCUUUGAACUGUCUGACCAGGUGUCCUGCGGUGGCUCACGUCGAUUUGUUCAAAUAGAUGCUUGAGGUGUCUUGUGAUCUGUUUGUGUGUCUGGAGUUGUGUUGUGCCCCGGUUGUGUUGUUUGCGUGUGAAAAUAACGCGUGUGUUGGUCUGAAGGAUGUAAACACAGGCAGAGAUGAUUGAAAGAGUUGUGAGGGAAACAGAACGCAGAGAUUGGUCAAUAAUUCUCGCAUUUGUAAUUCGGUUGUUCACGUGUCUGCCAUCCUGUUUGCUUCGAGAAUUUAAGGGACUCGUUUUGUGUCA